GGUUCAGAACGUCGUGAGACAGUUCGGUCCCUAUCCGUCGUGGGCGUAGGAAAUUUGAGAGGAGCUGUCCUUAGUACGAGAGGACCGGGAUGGACAUACCUCUGGUGUACCAGUUGUCGUGCCAACGGCAUAGCUGGGUAGCUAUGUAUGGACGGGAUAAGUGCUGAAAGCAUCUAAGCAUGAAGCCCCCCUCAAGAUGAGAUUUCCCAACUUCGGUUAUAAGAUCCCUCGAAGAUGACGAGGUUAAUAGGUUCGAGGUGGAAGCAUGGUGACACGUGGAGCUGACGAAUACUAAUCGAUCGAAGACUUAAUCAA
rnacentral:rRNA from 1 species